UACGAAGGGGGCUAGCGUUGUUCGGAUUUACUGGGCGUAAAGGGCGCGUAGGCGGCACGUUUAGUCAGGUGUGAAAGCCCUGGGCUCAACCCGGGAAAUGCACUUGAUACUGGCGAGCUAGAGGAUGGGAGAGGAUGGUGGAAUUCCCAGUGUAGAGGUGAAAUUCGUAGAUAUUGGGAAGAACACCGGUGGCGAAGGCGGCCAUCUGGACCAUUUCUGACGCUGAGGCGCGAAAGCGUGGGGAGCAAACAGGAUUAGAUACCCUGGUAGUCCACGCCGUAAACGAUGAGUGCUAGACGUUGGGGCUCUUAGAGCUUCGGUGUCGCAGCUAACGCAUUAAGCACUCCGCCUGGGGAGUACGGCCGCAAGGUUA
rnacentral:rRNA from 1 species